GCAUAACGCGAAGAACCUUACCCACCUUUGACAUGUACGGAAGUUGCCAGAGAUGGCUUCGUGCUCGAAAGAGAGCCGUAACACAGGUGCUGCAUGGCUGUCGUCAGCUCGUGUCGUGAGAUGUUGGGUUAAGUCCCGCAACGAGCGCAACCCUUGCCAUCAGUUGCUACGAAAGGGCACUCUGAUGGGACUGCCGGUGACAAACCGGAGGAAGGUGGGGAUGACGUCAAGUCCUCAUGGCCCUUAUAGGUGGGGCUACACACGUCAUACAAUGGCCGGUACAAAAGGCAGCGAAGCCGCGAGGUGAAGCCAAUCCCAUAAAGCCGGUCGUAGUCCGGAUUGCACUCUGCGACUCGAGUGCAUGAAGUCGGAAUCGCUAGUAAUCGUGGAUCAGCAUGUCACGGUGAAUACGUUCCCGGGUCUUGUACACACCG
rnacentral:rRNA from 1 species